UCGAAAUAGCAUCUAAAAUCAGAGACCAGUUCUUCAUCUUCCUCGUAUAAGUUGUAACAGCGCCGAUCUCACCGGAACUCCGUCCCCGACAAACGCCAUCACUCCCAAUCAACACUAAAUUAACACCCCACAACCCUAUUCUCAUGUUCUUUCCAUUCCCAAGCUUAAUUUCUUAAAAACCUAGUCAAUCUCCUCGAAUAUUAAAUCCAAAAAUCCGCCAAAACCCUAAAAUUAUCCAAAACCGUUCAAAUUCAUACCAUAUAUCCCCGACCCCUCUUAUCAUUAAUCCUCAACAAAAUCCCACGAGUCCAAUGGAAUGGAGCGAAUUCCAAAUCCAGGGUUGAUCGAAGUCGAUGCCCGUUUGGGAGUUUUCGAAGUCGUUUGAUGUUUGGUUGACGUUAUAUGCCCAUUUUGGAUGAAAUAGGCAAAUAACAUCAACUAGAAAUCAAUCUCGGCAAGGUCCAUAUGAAGUCCAAAUUCAGUAAGUGCCAUGGCUUAAUUUCGUCUAUGUUUCUUCUUUUCCUAUCUUGGUUUAGUAUGAAUUAGUUACAUGUUAGUUUCAUAGAUUAGUUUUAAUUUCGUCAUUCGUUUAAGCAUAGUCCAAUUCAAUUGUUUAUGGUCUAAUUCUGAUUGGUCGUUCUUUAGUUGGAUUGAUUUGGUUCUCAUAAUGGUUAAUCUCUAGGAUAACUUUCAUUAUUUUAGUUUUUGUUCUGAGUUCUUGCUGUUCGGAUUAGGUGUUGGUUUCUUAUUAUUUUCUUUGAUUUGCUUUAAGUUUUUAGUUUUGAUUAUCAGAAUAUAUCUUUUUUCGGUUGUGUUUAACUCCAAUAUGUUCUUAGUUUUAUUUGGUUUAUUAUUAGCUGUUUUAAUUAAGUUUUAGUUGAGGAUAAUCAAUAAUUUGUUCGAGUGUUCAGUUAGGUUGGUUAUAGCUGAGUAGUUCUUCAAUCAACCUUAGUUAGUUUUAGCUAAAGGGGGUAAGGUUUGGGUGAGGUUAGGAGGGUUAGUAAUUUUCAGACUGUUUAAAGGGCAUUUUGGUGAUAAAAAGGGUAGAAUCUCUAAUUUUGGCAAUUUUAAAAUCAGGAAAGGGUAAUUUAGGGAUUGAUUAACUAAAAGAGCAUCCUAGAUGCUUCUAGAUUGGGGUGAAACUGUAGAUUUCAGCUUUUUGUUAGUAUUUACUUGAGUAACAAGUUAAAAAUAAAGGGACCAAACUGAAAAUUGAAAAGGGACUACAAUAGAAAAUAAAAAUCUGAUUCUUUACCCUAGCGUUGCCUAAAAAUUGACACCCUCAUACUUGUAAAAGAGGUCUUCUUCCUUGAGCCCUCAUGAGCUCUAGGUUUCCUCUCUAUAAUAUGAAGAAAUUCUUAGAAUUCAAUUUUCAAAAAAAAGGAAGACCAAAAAACAAAAAGAAAAUAUAUAGAAGGCUACUGUUUCAUUAAGCUGAUCCUGUUGUGACUGGUUGCUAAAAUUACUGUGAUUUUAUUAGUGUGAUUUCAAGUUUUUGAGGUCAGCUGUGGAGUUUCAGUCUUUUGGGGUUAUCUGAUUAAAUUCAGAGUUUCAAGCUAAGUGUUGGGGUCUAAAUUGUUCCUAUUGGUUGUUUGGUGGGUUAUUAUUACUCGAAACUGGUUAUUGGGUCGUAUUGAAGCUUAUUCAAAAUCCUUGAAUUCCCUCUGGCUUGCUGCUAUUGGUUACUGCUUGAACUGACCUCUUCUCCUCAAUUUUUCUAUCCUACUUCUGGGUACAUAUUGUAUGACUCUCAAGGUUUUGAAUAUAAAAUGGAAUGCUAUUUGAAGAGAUCUUUAAACUCCAGGCCUCAUUUUAAUUUUAAAAUACAGAACAACAUGCCAGUUCAAGUCAGUAGUAUAAAGUGGACUAUAUGAGCUAUUCUGACUUUACAUUAGCAUACAUUUGAUUUCAGUUGUUUAAUUUGUUCACAUCGUGAUAAGUAUUUGCUGUUAACUUUCGGUUAAUUGAACUGAUUUCAUAAGCAUGAUUGCAAAUUGCUUUAGUUGAUCGUGUUUGUAUUUUAGUAUCAGUUCAUUGGUUAUCGACCUCACACGAGUAAGUGACUGAAAACGUGUUGAAUUAGUCCAUUAAAUUGAACAUUUAAAUUUAGUCAGUAAUCACCUUAAUUAUUUCGUCAAAAUAGGCAAAUAGACGAAAUAAUAUAAAGAACAAGAACAAUAUAGAGAGAAUAGGAGAGAGUGGAGUAUUCUUAUUGAUACUUGGGAUGAUUUACAAUGGGG
rnacentral:lncRNA from 1 species